rnacentral:rRNA from 1 species
GACGAACGCUGGCGGCGUGCUUAACACAUGCAAGUCGUACGGUAAGGCCCUUUCGGGGGUACACGAGUGGCGAACGGGUGAGUAACACGUGAGUAACCUGCCCACAACUUUGGGAUAACGCUAGGAAACUGGUGCUAAUACUGGAUAUGUGCUCCUGCUGCAUGGUGGGGGUUGGAAAGCUCCGGCGGUUGUGGAUGGACUCGCGGCCUAUCAGCUUGUUGGUGGGGUAGUGGCCUACCAAGGCGGCGACGGGUAGCCGGCCUGAGAGGGUGACCGGCCACAUUGGGACUGAGAUACGGCCCAGACUCCUACGGGAGGCAGAAGUGGGGAAUAUUGCACAAUGGGCGCAAGCCUGAUGCAGCAACGCCGCGGGCGGGAUGACGGCCUUCGGGUUGUAAAACGCUUUCAGCAGGGACGAAGCUUUUUGUGACGGUACCUGCAGAAGAAGCACCGGCUAACUACGUG